ensembl:lncRNA
AUGGAAGUUGGCCUCUCCAUAUGGAUGGUGAUCUUUCUGAAUGGGUCUUGGUCUUUCUGGAUAGGUGUUGGUCCUUCUGAAUGGGUCUUGGUCUUUCUGGAUGGAAGUAAGCCUCUCCAGAUGGAUGUUCAUCUUUCCAAUGGACAUUGGCCUUUCUGGAUGGAAGUAAGCCUCUCCAGAUGGAUGUUGAGCUUUCUGGAUGGGCAUUGGUCUUUCUGGAUGAACUUUGGUCACUCUGAGUGGGCAUUGGGCUUUUCAUACGGACAUCGGGCUAUCUGAAUGGAUGCUAGUCUCAUCGGAAACAUGCAUCAGGUGCUCCUGUUGUACUCCAGCACUGGAUUCCGGGUGUGCAUAGGGGAAUAACCUGAUGCACACUGGUGUUCAUCACUUACUCCUCCAUUUCACAGUGGAUGUGAUGUCAUAGCAGCCCCUAAGUGGACACUGACAUUGCAGAAGUGCUCAGUUCUAUUUCCCAUACACAUAAUUCCACUUAGGAAGAUGUACGUCUCAUAUUGAAUUCUGGCGGACACCUUUAAGAUAAUGUAUCUGUGUUUGCCCUAAAAUAUUGUAAGUCUGGGGGGAGUGGGGGGGGGGGAGGAAGAGAAGGAAUGCAAGUGAAAGAUGAAAGUAUGUUAAUUAAUUAAUUAAUAAUAGUAAAAGAGCUAACACAGAAGGGAAAGUGAUUUAAUAAAUCUGUGGCUGUUACUGAAACAUUGUUGAAUCCAAACAGAGGAACUAAUGCAAUAGACUUGCAAAUGGAAGCUUGAAAGCAUUUUUUAAUUAUUCUUGGCUAUUCUUUCAACUUUCUUUUCAAAUAUUAAAUUUUGACUUCUGUUUCUUGCAUGAUUAAUCCUAAUACUGAUUAAUUUGGAAAGAAACCUCUUAUGUCGGUACUACUCCCACAUAUUCCUCCUGGAGGGAUAAUGUGUUCCAGUAACAAAUAUUAAGUGGUCAUGUUGCAGUGACUUUUCUAUAGCAUAGAAGAUAGAGAGAAAGGAGGAGGGAGGUGAAUUAAUUUAUUACAACCCCAGAAUAUUGCUGUAGGGGUUGUAUUGGCAGCAUUGGUUUCUUUUAAAGGAUUGUAGUAGUUGUAACUUCUUUUACAGGGACUGAUGAUAUAGAUUGAGUACCCCUUAUCUGAAAUGUUUGGGACCAGAGGUGUUUUGGAUUGUGGAUAUUUUUGGAUUAUGGAAUACCUGUGUUUGUGUAUACAUACAUAAUGAAAUAUAUUGCCAUUGGGAACUUAGUGUUAACACAAAAUCCAUUUCUGUUUCAUAAACAAGUUAUACACAUAGCCUACAGGUAAUUUUAUACACAAUAUUUUUCAUAGUUUUGUCCAUGAAACAAAGUGUGCACCCAUUCAACUACCAGAGAGCAAAGGUGCCAUUAUCUCAGCCAUCCAUGUGGACAAUUUUAAAUUUUGGAGUAUUCUAGAGUUCCCGAUAAAAGAUUAUCAACCUUUUUUUGCACUCCAUCAAUGUGCUCAGAAAGAUAAUUUCUAUAGUAUUUGUAUAGAACACAAAUCAAAUUUUUAUUCAAGAAACACUAGUUAAAAUGAUUGUUGUUGUUGUUGGUAUAUUAAUGUAUAUGCCUCUUUUUCUCUUUUAAAAGACACUAAAAACAGGUAACAGUAGUUUCUAUAAACAGAGAUAAAGUAUGUCUUCCAUGUCAUAUUAAAAACCAAAACCUUAUUAAAUAAAAGAGUCAUUAUCUGCUAAUAGCAAGACAGCAAGAACAGGGUCAAGCAGACCUCUCAUGAAAGGGAGUUCAACAGUUUGGGAGCAACCACAGAGAAGACUCUCCAUGACAUUUUAUUAUUU